rnacentral:piRNA from 1 species
UGAGCGUCUGAUACUUCGUUUGUUGGA